UACUUAACAUCACUUCCGUGAUCAUCUUAGAUCUCUUGAAUAAACCUUGAAUAAAUACUUUCUUUACUCAUUUGCUUGCAGAAUGAUUCUAGCUAGACCUUCCUUGAACAAAGUCUGACCUCGAAUUCUCUUUUAUUGUUUCAAUUUCAGCUUCUUUGUUGACCCAAUCUACGGACCAGUGUCGGGGAACUGCUACGCAGACUGUCCCAUAAAACCCAAAGGUGAAGACUGCACUGAAUAUUUCGACGGUUGUUGCUCAAGAUACGUCUGCGGUGACCUCCCAAGGUUGUGUUCAUACGGUAAAGCCAAGUACCAAAUGGGCCAGUCCUUUGAGCCGUGGAAAUGUCAUCAAUGUGACUGCCUGUAUUCGGGAGAGGGGCAGUUGCAAAAUGUGAAAACUCUACAUAUUGCCCAGGUCCGCCACACAAGGACUGCGUGUUGCUCGGUAAGCAGAAGGACAAAUGCUGUGAGCCAUUUGACUGCUCCAGCACCACCUGCAAACUCGACGGAGACUAUUAUGAUGUGGGUAAAGUGUGGGUAGCCAAAAGAGACCCUUGCAAGAAAUGUAAGUGCGUGAAAGAGGGGAAGAAGGCUGCUCAGACAGUCUGCAAAGACAUCAUCUGCUCGGAGAAGCCUCCGUCUACAACGUGCCGUCCGCUCAAAUAUGUUGACGAAUGCUGCGUACAUGGUUGGGACUGCUCCGAUGAUUACCUCAUCACAACGGCAAGAAAGGUCACAAAAGGUCAAAAAGUUCCUAUCUGCGUUUUUGUUACCUCUCAAAAUGUACCUGUCGACUUGAAAUUCAACCUUUUGGGUAGAUCACAGGCAUCUUUAUCUGUUAGUAAAAUGAAGGAGAAAGGUUAGUGCUAUAAAUCAAGUUUGUUUAUAUAGAAUUAUAUUCCUGAAUUUUAUGUCUUAUAGCCCCUUGCAACUUUCAUUCAAAGA